rnacentral:lncRNA from 1 species
GAAUGCUUAUCUUCCCACGUGCAUUUCCUUCCUAAGAACUGCACAUUUUAGGGGAAAAAAUCCAGCCUGCUAGAAGUCCAAAACAUGGACAGAGUUGGCCUUUUGCUACACUGGGGGAAAAUAAUGGGUUUGCUUUGAAAGCUGCGAGCUGAGCUGUGUGUUAGCCAAAGGGGUUAAACCACUUCCCAAACUGUUUUUCACUGAACUCUUGCCCCAAGGCAGAAGAAAUCUCCCUCUCUAAUUGAUGUCUUUAGUCAAUGCCUGCUUGUAAUCAGGAAGAUUGCACUUAAAAGGUAUGGAGGCCAGUAUUAUUAUUUGGCAUUAGAGGAUUUUGCUUUGUAAUUAUGAGCCCGGGAGUUUUCAAGUGCUCCACCGGCUGCGGAGUUUCAGAUAUCAUACAGAAACCCCUGGCGGCAUCUGCAGGGAAGCUUCUGACCUUUAAGAGGGUGCGCGCGGCACACCACACCGGCAAACACUUGUCUGCAUGAUUUGCACGUCUGGUGCAUGGCAGGUUUUUCAACUGCAGCCUUUUAUUUACUGCUCAGCACACAGUAAAGAAAAGCAGACAAUACUGGCCGAGGAGAAUGGGACAGUUUGGCAGAAAUGGUCGAGAUUAUGAACGGCAUGGUUGGCUGAAGAGCCACAACUUCUGGAAUAGCCCAUGUGGAAAGAAUCGCCAGAAUGAAAGCUUUAAAACAAAUCAGGACGACUAUCAGUUCAUUCUUCCAGCUGUGUGAAGCCAACAAAAGGCAAUAAGAAUGAUAUUAAAAUUAUCUUUUACACUCAGACAUGUUGCCAGCAGGGGUGGGUGUCUGGCAGUUUGUAUUCUUCAGUCCUACUGUUCUCAGGAAAACAGAGUAGGAAGACCAGAUAAGCCAUCUUGGG